ACGCGAAGAACCUUACCUGGACUCGAAAUCUAGUCGACCGCCUCAGAGAUGAGGUUUUCCCGCAAGGGACGGCUGGAUAGGUGCUGCAUGGCUGUCGUCAGCUCGUGUCGUGAGAUGUUGGGUUAAGUCCCGCAACGAGCGCAACCCUUACGCUUUGUUGCUCGUCCCGAUUUAUCGGGGCAGCACCCGAAGCGAACUGCCUCAGAUAAUGGGGAGGAAGGUGGGGAUGACGUCAAGUCCUCAUGGCCUUUAUGCCCAGGGCUACACACGUGCUACAAUGGCCGGUACAAAGCGUCGCCAACCCGCGAGGGGGAGCCAAUCGCUAAAAACCGGUCUCAGUUCGGAUUGCAGUCUGCAACUCGACUGCAUGAAGCUGGAAUCGCUAGUAAUCGCGUAUCAGAACGAUGCGGUGAAUACGUUCCCGGGCCUUGUA
rnacentral:rRNA from 1 species